UGGGGAAUAUUGCACAAUGGGCGCAAGCCUGAUGCAGCCAUGCCGCGUGUGUGAAGAAGGCCUUCGGGUUGUAAAGCACUUUCAGCGAGGAGGGAAGGUGGUGAACUUAAUACGUUCAUCAAUUGACGUUACUCGCAGAAGAAGCACCGGCUAACUCCGUGCCAGCAGCCGCGGUAAUACGGAGGGUGCAAGCGUUAAUCGGAAUUACUGGGCGUAAAGCGCACGCAGGCGGUUUGUUAAGUCAGAUGUGAAAUCCCCGGGCUCAACCUGGGAACUGCAUUUGAAACUGGCAAGCUAGAGUCUCGUAGAGGGGGUAGAAUUCCAGGUGUAGCGGUGAAAUGCGUAGAGAUCUGGAGGAAUACCGGUGGCGAAGGCGGCCCCCUGGA
rnacentral:rRNA from 1 species